CAAUCUCAUGGCAAACCCGAAGAUUGCCGACUCACUCUCAAUCUCAUAGGUGAGGAGAAGUUGCACUCGCACACCGAGACCGCCUGCGGGACAACUACGUCUGCCCCUAUGUGAAGUACUCCGGAGACCACUGCUUCGGUGGAGCAACCACCGACAAGCGAAAACAGACUAGUGAGUAUGAUCCAAUCCUCACAAGAGGAUACCCUAUCUACCAGGGUCACAAUGCCUCAACUGCACUAAUGCCAAUGCAUAAUGUCUACAACAUGACAAUUGGAAAAAUCUACUAUCCCUAGGUUCAAAUGCCAUAGUGUUCCACUACACUAGAUUUGAUGUCACUCAUUUAUGUCAUGAUGUUAUAUGUGUCUCGAUAUACUAAAUUGACAUGCCACUCGUUCUUGUUAUAGUGUCUCUAUUAUACUAAUCCAAAUGUCACUCAAUAUGUCAUGAGGUUGUAUGUGUCUCAAUACACUAAAUUGACAUGCCACUCGUUCACAUUAUAGUAUCUCUAC
rnacentral:lncRNA from 1 species